GCUGCCUGCUUUGGUUUUCUCUCUCGCGGGUGAGGGCGCGUUCUCGUUCCUUGCGAGCUGGUAUUUCACUGUUCAUCGCAGAAAGACCGUUUCCAUAGUGAACGCGUGCCGUUCGCUCUCUCUCGCCACACGGCGAGCGCUGAGGCUGUGGCGCCCUGACAUGUCCUCAAGCAAAUGGACCGUCCCGACAACAGACUACGAUGCACGAUGCGCACCGGCACGCCAAGAGCCUAAGAAAGUUCGCAACAAUGCCGGCCGAAAUGGGCAAGCGCCUUGCAUUUACAUUGCUAGCAUUAGCUUUGUGCAUGGCCGUACAUGUCACAGGGAAGAGACAUCGUCCCCAUACCGGUAUCAAUGUGACAAUUGCUCACGGUAUGUGCCUCGUUGGUGGCCUUGCACUUCCGGAAGGAUAUACGCUUUAUCUCCGUAAGCCUUGCAUAGGAAUUGAGUGCCAUGCGAAAACGCACAGAAUUUUAUUAU